rnacentral:rRNA from 1 species
GGUUCAUGACUGGGGUGAAGUCGUAACAAGGUAGCGCUAGGGGAACCUGGCGCUGGAUCACCUCCUUACACGAUGAU